CGAAGCUCAGCUCUGGACGCUCCGCCGGCCGUCGCCCACAGCCUCGCGCGGGCCGAGUCGCUGGAGCAGAGCCGGGCGGGGGUCCCGCGGCGUGAUUUUCCACCAGCCCGGAGGAGAGAGUCGCCGAGAGUGCAGACAUUGCUGCACCAGGGCUGCACUUGACUGAAGAGGAUGCCAAACUGACCCGGAAAAUGACUCAGUGGAGGAGCAAGCUCACCCCAAAUCACCGUGCACACGGUAACAUGGCAGAGACCUCGGAAUUUGGAGGAGGAUGAAGGUGAAAAGCCCACAAGUCCUCUCAUUUCACAGGCCCUGCUGGGAGCUUCCACAUGUCCACAUGUGCCGGAGAAGUGAGCCUUUCAUGAAGCACACGUGAUGUGACCCCAGGCUUCUGCAGUUUGUGUGGGUGAAACAACACAAAAAAGACCAUAAAAUAAAAUUUAAAAUAAUGAUAGAAAAUCGAGCCCCUACUUUUUAUGUAUAAGAU